GCGUAUAUUAAAGUUGUUGCGGUUAAAAAGCUCGUAGUUGGAUUCCUGUCGAGAAGUGGUUCCCUUACCCUUUGGAUGAGGGUUACUACAUUCUUUACAUCUUCCAUAGUAGGUGUUCUUCACUUAAGUGUGCGGACAUCAUACUCUGGGCAUUUACUUUGAGGAAAUGAGAGUGCUUCAAGCAGGCAAACGCCUGAAUACACUAGCAUGGAAUAAUAGCAUCGGAUCAUCGUGC
rnacentral:rRNA from 1 species